UGGGGAAUAUUGCACAAUGGGCGCAAGCCUGAUGCAGCCAUGCCGCGUGUAUGAAGAAGGCCUUCGGGUUGUAAAGUACUUUCAGCGGGGAGGAAGGGAGUAAAGUUAAUACCUUUGCUCAUUGACGUUACCCGCAGAAGAAGCACCGGCUAACUCCGUGCCAGCAGCCGCGGUAAUACGGAGGGUGCAAGCGUUAAUCGGAAUUACUGGGCGUAAAGCGCACGCAGGCGGUUUGUUAAGUCAGAUGUGAAAUCCCCGGGCUCAACCUGGGAACUGCAUCUGAUACUGGCAAGCUUGAGUCUCGUAGAGGGGGGUAGAAUUACAGGUGUAGCGGUGAAAUGCGUAGAGAUCUGGAGGAAUACCGGUGGCGAAGGCGGCCCCCUGGACGAAGACUGACGCUCAGGUGCGAAAGCGUGGGGAGCAAACAGG
rnacentral:rRNA from 1 species